AAUUGGUGCAAAUGGAUCUGGCAAAUCAAAUUUCUUUCAUGCUAUACGAUUUGUCCUGAGUGACAUGUUUCAGAACCUGCGAAGUGAGGAUAGGGGUGCCCUUCUCCAUGAAGGUGCUGGACACUCGGUUGUAUCUGCUUUUGUUGAGAUAGUGUUUGACAAUUCAGACAACUGUAUUCCAGUAAGUCCUCUAACCUAUUCAGAUUUUAGUUUACUUAUUUCAGUCUAUCUUCUAGAGUCUCAGGUUGCAUAUUUUGUUGAAAAUAGCAACACCUAGAUCUCUUAUGGUAGGCACUCAUUUAAUUAUCAGCUCCGUGCAUUACUGGUUCAUGUAUGGAAGCUGACGGCAUCACUCCAGUUCCAAAUGAGUGUUCUAUCUUUAGGUGGAGUUAAGUCUGUUAAUCUGUUUGUUGUUAUGAAUGGACUAAGUACAACAACAUGGAGCCAGAUGCUGUUGAUUUCUUUGGGGAAUGUAUGAAUAGUCCCUGAAAUGGUCGUACUCCGCUUGCAAAUGAGAUAUAUGAGCAAAUGGUUGCAGAGAAGGAAAGAGAGCUAGAAGAAGGAGAAGCACAAAAGUCACCCUCCAAGAUUGUUGCUGAUAGUCUCAGCCAGAUCAGCCGCUCAUCCACCUUCCUUCCAAACAUUGGUGUCCCUACAACGUCCAAGACUGGUCGGUCCACAUCGCUAGCUGCACAAGCACACAUGCAGGUUCAGUUUGAGGAAAAACUCCAAGCUGAAAGAGAGGAAGCUGCUAGGAAGCAGGAAGAGUUGCAAGCACAACUACAAGCUCAACAGGCCGCACUUGAAGAAAACCAAAGUUUGUUGCGCCAGACCCAAGAGGAAGUGAAGGGGAUGCAUACCAAGUUUGAAGAGACCAAUGCACUGCUACGAGCUGUCCUAAAACUUUAGAAAGAUUGAGGUAGGGAUGCAUACCAUGUCUGAGCAUGAUGCCUUUGCUUAAGGUUUUUCUACCUUGCUAGAACAUAUCUGUGGUUAGAACUUUGUCAGAACUACGUGCAAUCUGUUUGAAUGCUUC